UACCAGCACCCCGAGUGGUCGGGACGAUUAUUGGGCCUAAAGCAUCCGUAGCCGGUCAUGCAAGUCUUCCGUUAAAUCCAGCCGCUCAACGGUUGGGCUGCGGAGGAUACUACGUGGCUAGGAGGCGGGAGAGGCAAGCGGUACUCAGUGGGUAGGGGUAAAAUCCGUUGAUCCAUUGAAGACCACCAGUGGCGAAGGCGGCUUGCCAGAACGCGCUCGACGGUGAGGGAUGAAAGCGUGGGGAGCGAUCCGG
rnacentral:rRNA from 1 species